rnacentral:lncRNA from 10 species
AGAGUAGUUAGAAACUUGUUGGUCAAUUUUUUUAAGGCUGCUGAGAGUAAGGUGGUUACUCAUGAAAGUUCACUAAGACAUAUGUACAAAAAUGUUUACUGUAGCACUGUGUUACAAAUAACAAAAACCUGGAAACUCUUCAUAUCAACUAGUUAAAUAAAUUCAGGCACCUUCACACAAGGUAAUACUAGGCAUAUUAAAAAAAGAACAUGGUAAAGCAAAUCUGUACCUAAAGUAGAUCUGUGUAUUAGUCUGUUUUUGCAAUGCUGAUAAAGACAUACCCAAGACUGGGUAAUUUAGAAAGGAAAGAGGUUUCAUUGACUUACAGUUCCACGUGGCUGCAGAGGCCUCACAAUCAUGGCAGAAGGCAAGGAGGAGCAAAGUCACCUCUUACAUGGAUGGUGACAGUCAAAAGAGGAGAGAUUAUGCAGGGAAACUCCCCUUUUUAAAACCAUCAAAUCUCAUGAGACGUAUUCACUAUCAUGAGAACAGCAUGAGAAAGACCUGUCCCCAUGAUUCAAUCACCUCCCACCAGGUCCCUCCUACAACAUGUGGGAAUUCAAGAUGAGAUUUGGGUGGGGACACAGCCAACCCGUAUCAAUCUGUAUGUCUGAUAUGGAAAGCAUUCCAAGAUACAAAGUUUAGUGUUUGUUUAAAUAAUGACACAAGAACACUCUUUACCAUGAUUCCAUUUUUUAAAAUUUAUCUGUGGUCUUCAAGGCAAGAUGAAUACAGGAUAGGAAGGGAGAUGAAGAAAGAGACUUAUUGUUCAUGUUAAAAAGUCGGCUUGAGUCCAGGCAUAGUGGUUUACGCCUGUAAUCCCAGCAUUUUGGGAGGCAGAGGCAGGAGCAUCGCUUGAGUUCAGGAGUUCCAGAACAGCCUGGGUAACGUGGUAAAACCCCAUCUCUACAAAAAAUUUAAAAAUUAGCUGGGUGUGGUGGUGCAUAACUGUAGUCCCAGUUACUCAGGAAGCUGAGGUGGGAGGAUCAAUUGAGCCUGGGAGGUGGCCAAGGCUACAGUGAGCCAUAAUUGUGCCACUGCACUCUAGCCUGGGUGACAGAAUGAGACCCUGUCUCAAAAAAAAAAAAAAAAAAAAAAAAAAAAGGCUUUAUGACAGCUACUUGUAUUCCAAUGUUUUGGCAAAUCAUACAAAACACAUACUUUAACAAGUUUAAUUUAAACUUUAAAGUAUAUAAAAACAGGCCAGGCACUUCAUCUAUUUCAUUAGACCCUACAAGUUUAGAUACAAAUGGGAAAGAUGACAGUUUUUACUUUGUAUAAAAUACCACUUAUGUGAUUAUGUGAAAGACCAAAAAUAACUGUAAAGAAAUAUUCUAAAUAGUAACUAUAUUCAACAUAGUAAAACUACAUUUCUAAUGUUGUUGUGGGCACCGAUGUUUAUUAAAAAUACUUCAUCUGGGUCUUGUGCGGUGGCUCAUGCUUGUAAUCCCAGCACUUUGGGAGGUUGAGGUGGGAGGAUUGCUUGAGCCCAGGAGUUCGAGAUCAGCCUGGGCAACACAGGGAGACCCGUUUCUACAAAAAAACAAAUUGUUUUAAUUAGCUGAGCAUGGUGGUGCAUGCCCGUGGUCCCAGCUACUCAGGAGGCUGAGGUGGGAGGAUCACUUGAGCCUGGGAGGUUGAGGCUACAGUGAGCCACGAUCACACCACCGCACUCCAAGCCUGGGUGACAAAGCAAGAUGCUGUCUCAAAAACAAACAAACUUUAUUUGCAGACUUAAGCCAGGGUCAGAAAAAAUAAAAAUAAAUAUACUUUAUAAUAUUAACAUACUCUUUAAGGUUGAUUACAGACUUUGACUUUAUUUAGCAAACAUUUAAACACUUACAUUUAACAUUAAGCACUUAUGUUUAAACGCCUGAGCAAGGUGUUGGGGGCAAAAUGAUAGGAUAGACACCACAGCCAGAGUUUACUAUGACCAAUUUAUAAUACAACAUGAUAUAGACAAUAAUGAAGGAAAAAUAGAGAACUAUGAUUGAGGAAAGGAAUAAUUCAUUGUAAUAGGACUUCCAAAGGACUCCAGAGAGAACAGAAUAUUUGAUAUGAACUUUUAAGAACUGGAGGGAGUGGGAGUGAGACAGGACAUUCCAAUAAGAGAAAAGAAUAUAAGCAAAGAAGGUCUGAAAUAGCUUGGCAUGUUCAGAGAACCAAGAGCAGUCUUGUUUAGCUGGACAGUGUGGAAAGGGGACAAAGAGGACAAGAUAAAGUACAGAGAUGACUGGGGGCCAGACUGCAAGGGGCCUGCAUUGUGAUGCUGGUAUCUCUGAAUUCUAAGCUCCAAACCACAGGCAGUCUUAGAAGCCUACUGAGCCAGAGACUGACAAGAUCUGAGCUCAGGAAAGAUGACUCUGGCAGCCAGGCAAAGAAUGGAUAGGAAGGGGUGGCGAGGAGCCUGAAGACAAAGUUAAAAACUUUAAGCAAAGCAAGUAAUCUGAGGUUUUAACACUUACACUAGGCGAGUAUUUUUAAAGGGUUUGAGUCUUGACGACAUUUCACGUCUUCCCUCAAGUGAUCAUCCCAACUAUUCUGUGAAACAGGUGUCAUCAAUCUUCCCAUUCUACAGAUGAGGAAAUUAGCUCACAAGCCAUUAACUGCCAAGUCAAAUGCUACAAAAACAAGGACAAAGCGCAGGCUCAGCACUUUUCCACACAAUGAAAAAUAAAGAACAAGAACAAUCUAAUUUCUUUUGAAGAGUGCUACCGUACAACAUAGCACAGAGUAGGCUAGCUACAUUACCCUAUAUUACCACUGGAAGUGUUAAAAAUCCAUCUAAUCAGCCAGGCGCGGUGGCUCACGCCUGUAAUCCCAGCACUUUGGGAGGCUGAGGCAGGCGGAUCACGAGGUCAGGAGAGAAAGACCAUCCUGGCUAACACGGUGAAGCCCCAUCUCUACUAAAAAUGCAAAAAAUUAGCCGGGGGUGGUGGCAUGCACCUGUAGUCCCAGCUACUCGGGAGGUUGAGGCAGGAGACUCGCUUGUACCCGGCGGGCGGAGGUUGCAGUGAGUGAGCCGAGAUCGCGGACUCCAGCCUGGGCGGCAGAGCGAGACUCCGUCUCAAAAAAAAAAAAAAAAAAAAUUCAUCUGAUCUUCUUAAAUGUUUGCAACUUGCAUAACAAGCUAAUUAUCCUUAGAUUUGACUUCUGUUAACGUCAUGUUAAAGACCUAUACUUUUUCUCCAAAGCAAACAAAAAAGCACCUGCACUUUGAAUUCUACUUCCUAUGGAAAUAAAUAAGAAUAAUAUUCUCCCUUCCCUUCAAUGUUUAAAAACUGGCAUUUCACUGAUGUAACGGGCUUACAUAAAAACCAUUAUACCCAAGGAAGCUGUAAACCACUUUUUGAAUGAUUAAAAAUGCAUUAUUUAGCAAGUACAGCAAUUGAAUCUGAGUUAUAAGAUAUAUUAAGUGAAAGGAGCUUCUAUAGAUAUGCAAAGGCACACUCUCGGAAAUAGGUUCUGUCAUAAGGAAGCGACAUAGAGAUCCUGAGACCUAUUUAAGAAUGGUUCAAUCCAAAAUAACUGAUGGAAGAAUAUUUGACCUUGAGGAUGCAGAGUGAUAGAAUCCGCUCCUCCUCCCCCCCCGCCCUCACCCGCCUUUAAAUUCUAAGUCCACGAAAUGGUCAAAGUGUUCUGGAACGGGUCUUAUUUUGCAUAGGAAGAAUCUAGCUUGGGCAUUUUACCGCACAGUUUUAUCCACAGCAUCGCCUAUUACCAAAACUGCUUGUCCCUACCCCCUCACGAGCUUUCUAACAGUUUUUAAAACAAGACCCAGAAAUGUAAAAUCCCUUCUUAGGAACUUGAACAGUAAGUCAAAGUAUCCAACCCAGGUAAUUAUUAGCAAGAACUACAUUUAUAUAAUUUUUUCCAAAGAAUCUCGCAUGCCUCCUCUCCGCUGAAUCUCCCUCCUGUUUUUAACUGGGUUAAAUCUUUAUAGCUUGCCUAUAGAGGACAAAAACGGAAAGGUGGCAAAAAAGAAAUCAAGACAGUUCUGCCAUGAUUUAGGGGUCUGUACCAAGAGUUCGGCAGGUCCUGUCACCUGCGCACCACAAGACGCAAGCUGAAUUCUAGGGCAAGACGAAGCAUUCCAACACGACACACACUGGUUUCUCCAGCGGGAAGAAGCAGAGAGCUCUAGAAAUGCCGGCUGCAGACGCGUAUUGUUGGAAAGGAGCCGGAUCAGGCCCCGCAGCAACUCGGGGCGCCCUCGCGACAGGGUUUGCCGCGCAGCGCACGGAUGACUGUGGGCCUGUCACUCCUAGCUCCAGCUGUAACCUUCGCCAAACCUUGCGCCGCACCGGCCCCGCCCGCCAG